GGCCUGAUGGUCUAGGAGUAUGAUUCGUUGUUAGGGCUGACGACUUUCGACGAGGUCCCGGGUUCAAUUCCCGGUCAGGCCC
rnacentral:tRNA from 1 species